AUUGAACGCUGGCGGCAGGCCUAACACAUGCAAGUCGAGCGAGUGGCGGACGGGUGAGUAAUGCUUGGGCAUCUGGCCGAUAGAGGGGGAUAACUACUGGAAACCGUAGCUAAUACCGCCUACUAUCGGUUGAACCCAUCUGGGAUUAGCUAGUGGGUGGGGUAUAGGCACACAUAGGCGACGAUCUCUAGCUGGGCUGCGAGGAUGAAGAGCAACACUGGGACUGAGCACCGUCCAGGACUCCUACGGAGGGCAGCGGUGGGGAAUAUUGCACAAUGGGGGCAACCCUGAUGCAGCCAUGCCGCGUAUAUGAAGAAGGCCUUAGGGUGGUAAAGUACUUUCAGCGGGGAGGCGUUACCUGCAGAGGAAGCACCGGCUAACUCCGUGCCAGCAGCCGCGGUAAUAC
rnacentral:rRNA from 1 species